UGGGGAAUUUUGGACAAUGGGCGCAAGCCUGAUCCAGCAAUGCCGCGUGCAGGAAGAAGGCCUUCGGGUUGUAAACUGCUUUUGUCAGGGAAGAAAUCUUCUGGGUUAAUACCUCGGGAGGAUGACGGUACCUGAAGAAUAAGCACCGGCUAACUACGUGCCAGCAGCCGCGGUAAUACGUAGGGUGCGAGCGUUAAUCGGAAUUACUGGGCGUAAAGCGUGCGCAGGCGGCUUUGCAAGACAGAUGUGAAAUCCCCGGGCUCAACCUGGGAACUGCAUUUGUGACUGCAAGGCUAGAGUACGGCAGAGGGGGAUGGAAUUCCGCGUGUAGCAGUGAAAUGCGUAGAUAUGCGGAGGAACACCGAUGGCGAAGGCAAUCCCCUGGGCCUGUACUGACGCUCAUGCACGAAAGCGUGGGGAGCAAACAGGAUUAGAUACCCUGGUAGUCCACGCCCUAAACGAUGAGUGCUAAGUGUUAGAGGGCUUCCACCCUUUAGUGCUGCAGCAAACGCAUUAAGCACUCCGCCUGGGGAGUACGGCCGCAAGGCUG
rnacentral:rRNA from 1 species